GGAACCUGUCCNGUGAUUGAUGGNCCACGAUUUAUUUUACCCCUUUUAUAGGGUAGAAAAUCGCCGUAGGUUGAAUGUUCUUAAAGGAUUAUGAAACAUUCAAGAGGUUAUUUUUAUGAAAUUAACUCAGGUCAAGAUGUAGCUAAUAAAUAAGAAGAGAUGGGUUACAAUAAAUUUAUUUAUUACGGAUUAAUAUAUGAAAUUUAUUAUAAAGGUGGAUUUGAAGGUAAUUNNAUACAAAUUUUUUUUAUGAUUAUAGCUCUAAAAUAUGUACACAUCGCCC
rnacentral:rRNA from 1 species